CGGCAACCGGCCCAGCCCUAACAGGGAGCCUAUAAAUACAAACGAAAUCCUCCAUCCAAAACACAACAAACCCCCAGCCGCCAGCCGCCGCCGCCGCAGAACUGGAGACCUGAACUGAGGAGACCCGCAUCAAUUUGAUAUUUGUUUUCCUAAUGGUUGGAGAUGGGUGUUCAUAGAUCUCGAUGAAGACCUGUGAUGCAGAAAAGUAGUGGCCUGAUUCAUACGUUGAUGAGAUCUAUAUUAUCACCCAGAGGGAUCUGAACCACCCGUCUGCCAGAUCUUGUUAUCUUUUGUUUUUGUUUCUUGCUGCGAAUUUGUGCAUCUUUUUUUAUCGGCUCCCAAUGACUGGACAAAUUCUAAGUUUCAGCCUUGUCUGAAGAAAUAUCAAUCUGUUGAUACUAUUUGUGCACAUGUUCUGAGGUUGCCAUUAGAGCAAAUCUAAUCCACUGUUUUGUGCGCUGUUUAUUAUCUUCGUGUGCAAGAUCUAUUUUUGAGUGUUCUCCGAUGAUGAUGAAACUAAAUACUUUCGUUCUUCUGAUGCGCUAUCUCAUGGCGCGGUGCGGAAGCAAUUUGGAGACCUGAACUGAGGAGACACUUUUUAUAUCUUGCCAA